rnacentral:rRNA from 1 species
CAGCAGCCGCGGGAAUACGAAGGGUGCAAGCGUUAAUCGGAAUUACUGGGCGUAAAGCGUGCGUAGGUGGUGGUUUAAGUCCGUUGUGAAAGCCCUGGGCUCAACCUGGGAAUUGCAGUGGAUACUGGGUCACUAGAGUGUGGUAGAGGAUAGUGGAAUUUCCGGUGUAGCAGUGAAAUGCGUAGAGAUCGGAAGGAACAUCUGUGGCGAAGGCGACUAUCUGGGCCAACACUGACACUGAGGCACGAAAGCGUGGGGAGCAAACAGGAUUAGAUACCCCAGUAGUCCCUGUCUCUUAUAC